rnacentral:rRNA from 1 species
CCUCGGGUGGCAGCAGUGAGGAAUAUUGGUCAAUGGGCGCGCGCCUGAACCAGCCAAGUAGCGUGAAGGAUGACUGCCCUACGGGUUGUACACUUCUUUUAUAAAGGAAUAAUGUGAGGCACGUGUGCCUUUUUGUAUGUACUUUAUGAAUAAGGAUCGGCUAAUUCCGUGCCAGCAGCUGCGGUAAUACGGAGGAUCCGAGCGUUAUCCGGAUUUAUUGUGUUUAAAGGGAGCGUAGAUGGGUUAUUAAUGCAGUUGUGAAAGUUUGCGGCUCAACCGUAAAAUUGCAAUUGAUACUGGCAGCCUUGAGUAGAGUUGAGGUAGGCGGAAUUCGUGGUGUAGCGGUGAAAUGCUGAGAUAUCACGAAGAACUCCGAUUGCGAAGACAGCCUACUAAACUGCCACUGACAUUGAUGCUCGAAAGUGUGGGUAUCAAACAGGAUUAGAUACCCGAGUAGUC